rnacentral:rRNA from 1 species
AUUGAACGCUGGCGGCAUGCCUUACACAUGCAAGUCGAACGGUAACAGGUCUUCGGAUGCUGACAAGUGGCGAACGGGUGAGUAAUACAUCGGAACGUGCCUGGUAGUGGGGGAUAACUACUCGAAAGAGUGGCUAAUACCGCAUGAGAUCUACGGAUGAAAGCAGGGGAUCGCAAGACCUUGUGCUACUAGAGCGGACGAUGGCAGAUUAGGUAGUUGGUGGGAUAAAAGCUUACCAAGCCGACGAUCUGUAGCUGGUCUGAGAGGACGAUCAGCCACACUGGGACUGAGACACGGCCCAGACUCCUACGGGAGGCAGCAGUGGGGAAUUUUGGACAAUGGGCGAAAGCCUGAUCCAGCAAUGCCGCGUGCAGGAUGAAGGCCUUCGGGUUGUAAACUGCUUUUGUACGGAACGAAAAGCCCUGGGUUAAUACCCUGGGGUCAUGACGGUACCGUAAGAAUAAGCACCGGCUAACUACGUGCCAGCCGCCGCGGUAACAC